UUACACAUGCAAGUCGAGCGGGGGAAGGUAGCUUGCUACCGGACCUAGCGGCGGACGGGUGAGUAAUGCUUAGGAAUCUGCCUAUUAGUGGGGGACAACAUCUCGAAAGGGAUGCUAAUACCGCAUACGUCCUACGGGAGAAAGCAGGGGAUCUUCGGACCUUGCGCUAAUAGAUGAGCCUAAGUCGGAUUAGCUAGUUGGUGGGGUAAAGGCCUACCAAGGCGACGAUCUGUAGCGGGUCUGAGAGGAUGAUCCGCCACACUGGGACUGAGACACGGCCCAGACUCCUACGGGAGGCAGCAGUGGGGAAUAUUGGACAAUGGGGGGAACCCUGAUCCAGCCAUGCCGCGUGUGUGAAGAAGGCCUUAUGGUUGUAAAGCACUUUAAGCGAGGAGGAGGCUACUUUAGUUAAUACCUAGAGAUAGUGGACGUUACUCGCAGAAUAAGCACCGGCUAACUCUGUGCCAGCAGCCGCGGUAAUACAGAGGGUGCGAGCGUUAAUCGGAUUUACUGGGCGUAAAGCGUGCGUAGGCGGCUUAUUAAGUCGGAUGUGAAAUCCCCGAGCUUAACUUGGGAAUUGCAUUCGAUACUGGUGAGCUAGAGUAUGGGAGAGGAUGGUAGAAUUCCAGGUGUAGCGGUGAAAUGCGUAGAGAUCUGGAGGAAUACCGAUGGCGAAGGCAGCCAUCUGGCCUAAUACUGACGCUGAGGUACGAAAGCAUGGGGAGCAAACAGGAUA
rnacentral:rRNA from 1 species